GAGCUAAUGUGAGUGGUGCUGGUCCUUGUUAUAAUCCGUUGGUAACGGCUGCAGAAGGGCUUAACUGAAGCUAUCAAGUGCUUGUUGGAAGCUGGUGCAAAUCCAAAUGUUCUUGACAAGGGAUGGGCGUAUGGAUUGAAUGGUACUGUCCUGAACUGAAACGAAGAACUUCAAUGGAAAUGUAAUACUCCAAUCAAGCAAUGUGACAUUAGUCAUUGUGUGCAGGUUUUCCCAACAAGUUUGUUGUAAUGCCUUAUUUAAGGUGAG